CCCUUUAAAAUCAUAAAGGUGUUCUAAGGGGGCGUGGUCUGUGAGGCAGUUUACAGGGGAUGUGGUCCGGGUUUUUACUCUUUAAACUACUUUAAAAACGUUAGUGGUUCAGAUUUACAGCAGACAGGACGGUGAGGAGGAAGGAAACAGGACGCAACUGUCAGCAGAUGAGAGGCUUAUCUUGGCGCUCCACAUCUGUUGAGAAAUCUGCGGUCCAAACUGCAGGAACAUCGACGCUCGUCACAAGCUGCUCAACAAAACACCAGCGUGGAACGCAUCCAACCACAGCGUCUCUCUCUCUCGUGGUCACCACACAGAUGCCCUUAACUUACAAGCCUCCCAUGUAUCUGGCAGUGGGACCAGCACACUGAAGGCACCCCAGCACUUGACCUGUCUGGAUUUAACCCAGCAACCCUCCAAGUUCCCCUUCCACUAGACCAGGGGUGUCAAACUCAUUUUUGUUCAGGGGCCACAUA